rnacentral:rRNA from 1 species
UACGUAGGCAGCGAGCGUUGUUCGGAGUUACUGGGCGUAAAGAGUGCGUAGGCGGUUUUCUAAGUUUGGUGUGAAAUCUCCCGGCUUAACUGGGAGGGUGCGCCGAAGACUGGAAGGCUUGAGUAUGGGAGAGGUAAACGGAAUUCCUGGUGUAGCGGUGAAAUGCGUAGAUAUCAGGAGGAACACCUGCGGUGUAGACGGCUUACUGGACCAUCACUGACGCUGAGGCACGAAAGCGUGGGUAGCAAACAGG